rnacentral:rRNA from 1 species
ACAUGAACAUCGACAUUUCGAACGCACAUUGCGGUCCACGGAUACAAUUCCCGGACCACGCCUGGCUGAGGGUCGUU